GGGGAAUUUUGGACAAUGGGGGAAACCCUGAUCCAGCCAUCCCGCGUGUGCGAUGAAGGCCUUCGGGUUGUAAAGCACUUUUGGCAGGGAAGAAACGGCGCCGGAUAAUACCUGGCGCAACUGACGGUACCUGCAGAAUAAGCACCGGCUAACUACGUGCCAGCAGCCGCGGUAAUACGUAGGGUGCAAGCGUUAAUCGGAAUUACUGGGCGUAAAGCGUGCGCAGGCGGUUCGGAAAGAAAGAUGUGAAAUCCCAGAGCUUAACUUUGGAACUGCAUUUUUAACUGCCGAGCUAGAGUAUGUCAGAGGGGGGUAGAAUUCCACGUGUAGCAGUGAAAUGCGUAGAGAUGUGGAGGAAUACCGAUGGCGAAGGCAGCCCCCUGGGAUAAUACUGACGCUCAUGCACGAAAGCGUGGGGAGCAAAC
rnacentral:rRNA from 1 species